CGCCAGACUCCUACGGGAGGCAGCAGUGAGGAAUAUUGGUCAAUGGCCGAGAGGCUGAACCAGCCAAGUCGCGUGAGGGAAGACGGCCCUACGGGUUGUAAACCUCUUUUGUCGGGGAGCAAAGCGAACCACGUGUGGUUCAUUGAGGGUACCCGAAGAAAAAGCAUCGGCUAACUCCGUGCCAGCAGCCGCGGUAAUACGGAGGAUGCGAGCGUUAUCCGGAUUUAUUGGGUUUAAAGGGUGCGUAGGCGGAAUGCCAAGUCAGCGGUAAAAUCGGGGGGCUCAACCUCGCUCCGCCGUUGAAACUGGCGUCCUUGAGUGGGCGAGAAGUAUGCGGAAUGCGUGGUGUAGCGGUGAAAUGCAUAGAUAUCACGCAGAACUCCGAUUGCGAAGGCAGCAUACCGGCGCCCAACUGACGCUGAAGCACGAAAGCGUGGGUAUCGAACAGGAUUAGAUACCCCAGUA
rnacentral:rRNA from 1 species